rnacentral:rRNA from 1 species
UACAGAGGUCUCAAGCGUUGUUCGGAUUCAUUGGGCGUAAAGGGUGCGUAGGUGGCUCGGUAAGUCGGGUGUGAAAUCUCGGGGCUUAACUCCGAAACUGCAUUCGAUACUGCCGUGCUUGAGGACUGGAGAGGAGACUGGAAUUUACGGUGUAGCGGUGAAAUGCGUAGAUAUCGUAAGGAAGACCAGUGGCGAAGGCGGGUCUCUGGACAGUUCCUGACGCUGAGGCACGAAGGUCAGGGGAGCAAACGGG